rnacentral:rRNA from 1 species
CCUACGGGAGGCUGCAGUGGGGAAUAUUGCACAAUGGGCGCAAGCCUGAUGCAGCCAUGCCGCGUGUGUGAAGAAGGCCUUCGGGUUGUAAAGCACUUUCAGCGGGGAGGAAGGCGGUGAGGUUAAUAACCUCAUCGAUUGACGUUACCCGCAGAAGAAGCACCGGCUAACUCCGUGCCAGCAGCCGCGGUAAUACGGAGGGUGCAAGCGUUAAUCGGAAUUACUGGGCGUAAAGCGCACGCAGGCGGUCUGUCAAGUCGGAUGUGAAAUCCCCGGGCUCAACCUGGGAACUGCAUUCGAAACUGGCAGGCUAGAGUCUUGUAGAGGGGGGUAGAAUUCCAGGUGUAGCGGUGAAAUGCGUAGAGAUCUGGAGGAAUACCGGUGGCGAAGGCGGCCCCCUGGACAAAGACUGACGCUUAGGUGCGAAAGCGUGGGGAGCAAACAGGAUUAGAUACCCGUGUAGUC